UUUAUUAGGACAUCAAGCUUUCGGGCACAGCGUGGCCCUUCUACAGGAUCAAAUGUAUAAGAAAAAUGAUACACUAUAUACACGAAGAAUAAAUCUGCAUAUGUAUUAUUAGAAAUUAGUUGUAAAAUUUUUAAAAUAAUCGGUAAUACUUAGAAUUUUUUUGUUUAAAAAGAAUAUCGAGACAUAAGCAAAUUAAUAAAAUUUGUUAAGAAGAAUAAUAUACGAAUAUUACAAGGUAUUAAGAUAAAAGCGUAAUAAGACUAAAAGGACGUUCCUACGGUUCGACGGAAACUGUGAUAAAAUUAUGAGUAUUUAUAAGGUAAAACAGUUUGAAAAGGAUAUUAAAAUAAAUGAACAAAACAGGGAAUUCAUGGGGUACAUCGAUGGCUAUUUAUGUAAUAAGCUUAUAUACGGCUCAGGUACAUCAACAUGUCUGUUUAUACUAUUAUAUCUCAGAGAUAGCAAGGCCUCGACAACCAAUCUUUUGUGUUUAUGUGGUAUGUUAGAAUAAUGUGAUCUUGGAUCAGUUGUGUUGAAACUAUGUCCUGUCUGUGAUAUGUGCUGGACAAUAAGUGAUUUCGGAUCGUUAUGUCUGAUGUUUCUGUCGUGUUCCUGUAUUCUGUCUUUAAUGUAACGGCCAGUUUCACCUACAUAAACACUGUCGCAAUCGUUGCAUUUUAUGGAAUAAACAGCAUUGUUUCUUUGAAGAGUGUUCCGAGGUGUGUUGUCUUUAGUAAUAGGGUUCCUUAAGAUAGUGCCUAUACUAGGGGUGUUGGAAAAGUAAGUGCGGAUGCCGAAGUUCUUUAGUUCUCUAGCUAUUUUUAUGCUUUGCAAGGAAUAUGGUAUUGUGCAGAUGGAUUUAUAGUUGUCAUAUAUCUUGGUGCGGGAUGGGUUAUGGAAAUGCCAACGAUUGCGACAGUGUUUAUGUAGGUGAAACUGGCCGUUACAUUAAAGACAGAAUACAGGAACACGACAGAAACAUCAGACAUAACGAUCCGAAAUCACUUAUUGUCCAGCACAUAUCACAGACAGGACAUAGUUUCAACACAACUGAUCCAAGAUCACAUUAUUCUAACAUACCACAUAAACACAAAAGAUUGGUUGUCGAGGCCUUGCUAUCUCUGAGAUAUAAUAGUAUAAACAGACAUGUUGAUGUACCUGAGCCGUAUAUAAGCUUAUUACAUAAAUAGCCAUCGAUGUACCCCAUGAAUUCCCUGUUUUGUUCAUUUAUUUUAAUAUCCUUUUCAAACUGUUUUACCUUAUAAAUACUCAUAAUUUUAUCACAGUUUCCGUCGAACCGUAGGAACGUCCUUUUAGUCUUAUUACGCUUUUAUCUUAAUACCUUGUAAUAUUCGUAUAUUAUUCUUCUUAACAAAUUUUAUUAAUUUGCUUAUGUCUCGAUAUUCUUUUUAAACAAAAAAAUUCUAAGUAUUACCGAUUAUUUUGAAAAUUUUACAACUAAUUUCUAAUAAUACAUAUGCAUAUUUAUUCUUCGUGUACAUAGUGUAUCAUUUUUCUUAUACAUUUGAUCCUGUAGAAGGGCCACGCUGUGCCCGAAAGCUUGAUGUCCUAAUAAAGUGUUGAAAGAAACUCAUCUCCUGAAUAUUUCGUCCUUACCACGCAUGUAAUUGGGAAGAUUUUACCGUUUAGAAAUCUUAUAUAAUUUAUACCGCCAAUAUUGAUUUUAUUUGAGCAUAUUAUGUAGAUUAAUUUUCUUAAAUGUCUUCAGAUUUGUAAAUAACUCGCUGCAUCAUUUUUCCAUUUCGAACAAAAGCCUAAAGGUAUACCAUGGUUUCAGACUAUAAUCCUUAUCAAUAUGUCUAGGUUUUUUCAAGUUCCUUCGGACUUAGUGAUGAAAUCCUCUAUAAUAUGACAAAGAGAUAUUUUAACUAGUGAAGUGGCUAAUUUAAAGACAGAUUACAUUGAAAAUCGGUAGAAUGGUAUUUGUUUCCCAAAAAAAUCACUUCUUCAUUUUAGAAAAUUCAACAACAACAACCUUUAUUAAGACACUAUUGUCUUACAAGGGGAUUCCCCUAAAAGGUUAUAUAUGUACAUGAGUGAGGAGGAAAAGCAAUUUAGAGGGGAGGGGGAGCAAUCAGCCGUUGUCUGUGGAGUUGAGCACUUCUUCUCUCAUUUUAUCAAUCGCCUUGAAAUAUUUAAAAUAUUUAUUAAUAAAUGUUUUAUCCAGCAGGAGAGUAGUGAAGAUUUUAUAUACAUGUUGUUCAUUGUAGUGAGUUGGCCCCGAAAUUUCGCGAAUUUCCAGUCUCUUUUCAUGUAGGAAUGGGCAAUGGAAUAAUUUUAGAAAAUUCAUAAAUACAUUAAAAUAAUUCAUAUUUUUGUUGUAAAGUUAGAGGCUGCCUGGCCGGCAUUCAUAGUUCUUAAAAUUAAAGAUACGUCGGCCAGUAAAACUUUCAUAAUAUAUGAAUAUUUUUGUAAUUACAAGGUAUUAUUUGAUUUAAGGAAAGGUGCGAGGAAAUAUCUAUAAUCAUUUUGUUUUGAUCAAUUCCCUUCCAGGGAAUAUUUUCAUUAACUUUUAUAUAUUUUAUAUAAAUGUGCCUUCCAAAAUUUUUACUCCUAUAUUCUUAUCCUGUAGAAAGGCUUCCAAUCCCGAAAUCAAGAGCUUCGUAUUGAAAAUAUUUUGUGAAAGAAACCUUUCUCUGGAAGCUUUAUGUUUUCACUUCAGUGAUCAAUAAUACCAUAUUGAUGUUUUACAAUAAAUGUAAGAAAUAAAAAAAAAAUAUAUUUUCGAAAAAUAUAUAUAUAUUUUCGAACAAAUAUAACAACAUUUUAAAUAUUUAAGUUAAUAAAUGGAUUUAACUCGAAUAUUCUAUUAGAAAGUGAGACCAACACAUUUCCUGACGUCAACAAUUUUCUAGAUUGUGGCUCCAACUCGGGUUUAUUAGAACCGCUAGGGGCGUUAUAAUCGGUCUAGAACAGCUGCGAUACCAGAUCAAUCUUGUACGAUAGGAUUUCGAGAUAUCCCAGGUACUUUUGGCGGAGAAACUUCCUUCCACGAUAUUUCUAAACGAAUUUAAAUCCUUCUUAUUGAAAAAACGAAGUAUAUAGUCUGUCUAGACUAGAAAAUAUAUGUAAUUACUUUUUUAUUUUGAAUAAAUUUUACUUCAGAACAAAUAUAUAAUUUAGUGAAACCGCUGAGAAUAUUCACCACUGAUUAGCCAAGCCUUCUCAUCGAAAAACCUUUAUCAUAGCUGUAAGGUGUAUAGAGAUUAUAUUUGAUAAAAUAUAUUAAAAGUAAUAUAUUGCCAAAAUGUUUAUUAUCGUAAAGAUAGAGGUUGCCUGGCCGGUAUUCAUAUUUCUAUGAAAAAUAAACACUUCGGCCAGUUAGAGCUUAUUUAUUUUUCUCAACGUUUCGAAAAAAAUAUUCUGUCUUCGUCAGAAGAAGUAAAUACAGAGGGUGUUUCCUUUCAAAUGAAACGAUAUUAAACGUCCGUUAGAACUUUAUUUUUCGAACGUGAAUUUUUUUCAUGUGUUCUAUGUGCUUCCCCUUCUUCUUGGCUAUCUCCCUGCAUCGGACUUUCCAAGCUGCGAACACUUCCUUGACUUUGGAGAGCGAUACAUUCGACCACUCCUCUUGUGCGGCUUUCCAAAGUCCGGCCUCAGUUUUGGGACGUCGGUUGAAGAGCCGUUGUUUCAACAUACCGAACCCGUAAAAAUCCAGUGGGCUGGCGUCGGGAGACUUCACUGGAAUGUCCGAGUUCCUGAUAAAAUUUAGGCCUAGGGUGUCCUUCAUUUCUUGUAGGAACUGUUGGGUUUUGUUGGAGGUAUGGGAAGAGGCUUUGUCGUGAUGAAGGAACACUUUGUCCAUUUCCCCUGGGUAAAGGUCCUUCAGUUGUUCGAUGACAGGUUUCAGAACGCAUUCUAUAUAGAAUUCUGAGUUCACCUUCACCUUCGAUGGAACCUUUAUGAGCGGAAGGACUCCACGGCCAGUCAUUACCCCGACAACCAUGAAACCUUUAGGGAAAGUUUCGGAGCAUUGGUGAACCCAAUUAUCCGGGACCUGAUUGCCUCUUUUGAUGUAACAGAUCUUCCGGAUUCCAUUGCAAUACGUCACAUACAUCCAUGCUUCGUCCAAUGUUGCAGUAUAUUCCGAUCUGGAACCGGCCAGGUGUUCCUCGUAGAGCUUCCGGGCAUUCGUUGCACGGUUUUUCAUGUGGAAAGGGGUGAGCUUGUGAACCUUGCCUUUUCGUCGGGUAUCCAGUUCCAAAUCUUUGUGAAUGAUGUUAUUUAUCGUUUUUAGCGAUGUUCCACACAUUCUGGAAAGUUGGCGCUGAGAUGGUGGAUUUUCAGUAGUUGCUAGCCGCUUUACCUUGGAAACCGUGGCGGGGGUCCGCACCGGACGUGGUCGAUCGACUUGAAAUUUUUGCCCAUUGGAUUCAGCUUCCCUUUUCUUUCCGAUGCCAUUCACUACCCUACAUAUUGUAGCUUUGCCAACAUCUAGUCCUUCUGAUUUUAGCUUUUUCACUAUGACGCUAUAACUGUUUCCUUCUUUGGAAAGGGUCCGAAUUGUUUGUUCGACUUGGAGCGUUAGUCUCUCUCCCCCCAUGUUGCAAAAAUCAUGAUACCUGAUGAAAAUGAAUUCUCCAGAAGAUUCUAGAUCUAUUGGAACCAGUGUCGUGUGCAGCAUGCCUGCACGUGCAAAACGCGAGCGCUCGAAAAUCGUUUCAUUUGAAAGGAAACACCCUCCGUAUAAAUAAAGUAUUUGGCAAGGCGUUAAAAGAAAAUAAUUUUUAACGCCUGCCAAAUGCUUCAUUUUUAUUUACUUCUCCUGACGAAGACAAAAUAUUUUUGUCGAAACGUUGAGAAAAAUAAAAAGCUCUAACUGGCCGAAGUGUUUAUUUUUAAUACUAGACGAAUGACCCGGGCAACGCCCGUGUUUUACCCGAUUGAAUGUUUUUAUUCCAAUACUAUUUGUUAGAAUUAUAAAUUGGAGCCGUGGAUGUCACUCUUGUCAAACGUCCCGCUCCAAACUUUACAUGUACAUUAGGUCAGCUGGUAUUACCCCUCAUUUUCACCGCUAGAGGCGCGAGCGAAUUGACUUUUUGUAAAUAUACAUAAUUAUAAAGAUAGAAGCUUCUAUAGAAGAUAAUGAUCAUAAUGAUGAUGUGCGCGCAUCCGUGACAUGAGGUCGACAGACGGUUGUGACUAUAUAUGUUGAUAUAUAUUUUAAAAAUGUUUUAAUUAAAAUACUAUUCGUUACAAUUAUAAAUUGGCGCCGUGGAUGUCUCUCUUGUGAAACGUCCCGCCCCAAACUGUGUGUGUCUUGAAAAUAUAAAAAUAAAAAAUGUGAACGGAAAAAUAUGUCCAGGGUAGCCUAGUGGUCAUGGCAUCUGCCCGGUAAGCGGAAGGUCGUGGGUUCGAUACCCAUCCCUUGACACUUUUUUUAUUUUAUCCAUUCUGACCAAAAUCUAUCCGUGAACUUCACACAGUGAACUUCACACAGACAGAAGCAUUAGAUAAUGAUAAUGAUCAUAAUGAUGAUGCGCGCGCAUCCGUGACAGCGAUGAGGAAUUGAUUGAGGAAAGACGGUCGUGACUAUAUAUGUUGAUAAUAAUAAAAUAAUAAUAAUAUAAUAAUAAUAAUUAUUAUUAUUAUCAUUAGAUAAUGAUAAUGAUCAUAAUGAUGAUGCGCGCGCAUCCGUGACAGCGAUGAGGAAUUGAUUGAGGAAAGACGGUCGUGACUAUAUAUGUUGAUAAUAAUAAUAAUAUAAUAAUAAUUAUUAUUAUUAUUAUCAUUAGAUAAUGAUAUAAUGAUCAUAAUGAUGAUGCGCGCGCAUCCGUGACAUGAGGUCGACAGACGGUCGUGACUAUAUAUGUUGAUAAAUAAAAAAAUAUUUAUUGUUACGAAUUUUAUGGCGAUAGAUGGCAUUAAAUUUAUAAAUGUAAUUUGCUACUAUAGCUUCGAUAUGAGACCGUAUUUUGCGUAAGAGCUUUGUUCGAUGCAAUUUCUUGUAAUUAUAUGUAUGCACCUCUACAGAUCUAUAGGCUUAUGUUCAUAGGUUAUCUAAACACCCCUAAGCCUCUUUCCUUAGAAGAUGCAGGAUAUAUAAGAAAACCAAUCCAAUAAAAUAGUAAAGCCGUCUGGAUUUGGAAAAUCUUCUUAGAGGGUUCACCAAUGAUGAGCCAAUGAUAUGCUCGCUAAUUCAAUAACUUUUAUCAUUAUAGUAAGGUCUAUAGAGAUAAUAUUUGAUUAUAUAUGUUGAAAUAAAUAAUUAUUACAAAUUGAAAAGAUGACAAAUUUAUAAAAUAAAUAUAAUGUUAUAAGUAUAUAAUAAAUAUUUAUAUCAUCUCACCUGAAAAAAACAACAAAAUAUUUAUUUUUCCAACGUUUCAAGACAUAAUUGCCCAUAUGGAGGGAAUAUUGCUAGUUUCUUGAAGUUUUUUGGUAUGAGUGUGUGGAUAUUUAUAUAUACAGUUACGAGCAUCAUCAUGUCUGCCACCGUUUGCUUUUUUUUUUUUUUGGAAUGGCGCUCUCCUACUGGUUGGCUACGAUCACGUGGCUACGAUGGCGCCGCCACUACGCGAGACACUUUGUUUUUGACUUUGCCCCCCCCACUCGCUUUUUGGUUUUUGUAACUAUUGUGUUGGAGCGGGUCGCUCCUUAAAUAAAUGCAUAUAUUUGUUAAUAACUAAAUGGAAUCACGUGCGUUGCCCGGAUCAUUCGGCUAGUUUGAUAUAUACAUGAAUGAUAUGUACAUGAAUAUAAUCUUGAAAAGGGAAUAAAAUAUUAGCCGAUAAUUCUGUAAAAUAAAGAAAUGAUACUAGGUCUAUAUGAAUAUAUUGGUGAAUUACCAAAAAAAGUUAUAAGAUACCCCUCAACUAUUUUAAUUAAUUGUUUAAUGAGGUUUUCGGGCAAGCCCUUCCACAACAAACUAAAACUGAGGAAGAACUUUCCCGAAAGUUAAUUUAUACAAUUAAUAAAAAUAGUUGCGGCUUCUUAUACCUUUUUUUAUUUGUCGAAAUACGCAAACUGUGAUAAUGGAUAUUGAUGAAUAUAUAAAUUGAGUUGGCCAAAUAUCACGGAUCAAGUUAAAUAAACGUUUAGUUUAUUUUUGUUCCACUAGAUGGCGCUCUGUCAUCUUAAAAUGCUCUCGUGAGCGUAGUCAGGAUAUGCCUCUUUUGUUUUUAACAGCAACACCUUAACAUUUUUAUUUUUUUCAAUUAUUAUUUUUACACAAACAAAUAUAUAUAUGAAAAAAACAAUAGAAAAAAAAAGAUAAGUGGGUCAGGUGUUGAUAUUAAAAAUAAAGAAGGCAUCUCCUGACCAUGAGCACAUGUGCUUUUUAGAUGGCAGAGCGCCAUCUAGUGGAGCAAAAAUAAACUAAACGUUUAUUUAGCUUGCUCCGUGAUAUUUGGCCAACCCAAUUUCUUGAUAAAUCAAGAAAAGCCAUCCACGAACGCGUUUCGCGCUGUUGGCGCUCGUCAGCGUGGAGAAGGCUGUAACCACUGCGACCAAAAAGAUUUUUUGGUCCCAAUGGCUUCCCGAAAAAUCAAGAAAUGGGUAUUUAAGGCCAAAUUUGCGUAAAUUUCGUGGAUUGCUUUUCUUGAUUUAUCAAGAAAUUGGGUUGGCUAAAUAUCACGGAGCAAGCUAAAUGAACGUUUAGUUUAUUUUUGCUCCACUAGAUGGCGCUCUGCCAUCUAAAAAGCACAUGUGCUCGUGGUCAGGAGAUGCCUUCUUUAUUUUUAAAUAUAUAUAUACAGGGUGAUCCAAAAGUCCCGCACAACUUUAAAAAUUAAUAACUCCGCGAAUAUUUGCGCUAGAGCAAUGCGGUAAACACCAUUGUGUUCAGGAUGCAAUGGGAUUUUUUAUGGCAAAUAAUGAAAAAUUCGAAAUUGAUUUUAGUAACAACUUUAUUCACUAGAUGGCGCCAUACCAGAAUCAGCGAUUCAGCGGCCAAAUUGUUUGAUAAAUUGAAAAAUAUAACUGAACGAUACAUAUUUUUACUUUUUGAAUACCAGGAAAGAACCCUAAUAAUAUCAAACGAUAAAUUAAUAAAACACCAUUUCGCCAAAAGUUAGAAGAAAUGGUUAACGAUUUUUAAAACAAUCUGAGAUAUGUAAAAUAGGUAUAUGCAAAUUAAAACAUGUAGCAAAAAAAAAAACUGAUAUUUUAGAUGCGGUUUGCUGGAAUCCUCUCAGCUAUUUAUAUUUCGAAAAUAAUAAUUUUCUAUUUUUUUAAAUUCAACUCUCUCUCAGUAUCGAUUAUAUUUAUUUUAAUUCAUUUGAAAUACCUCUCGCGGAUUUCCCAUCUUGGUAUUAAAUUCGAGAAUCUUGAUCUUAAACUUCUCUUCAUUAGCAGUUCCGCUGGGGAAUUCCUUUAUUACAGUUUGGGGAAAUGCUCUAUGAGCAAAUAGGAAUCUUUGUAGAUUCGUCUCUAAAUCAUCCUUCCCAUUAUUAUUUCUCAAAAGGUUUUUAAACUCUCUUUCAUAUCUCUCAGCUGAACCAUUUGUACUAGGAUUAUACGGACUGGUCUUAGUGUGCCGUAUACCAUUCAUUUUGGUAAAUUGCUCGAAUUCACCGGAGACAAACUGUCUUCCGUUAUCUGUAACAAAAAAUUAGGGCAAUCCAAUUCUGGCGAGAAUUUCUCUAAGAUGACUUAUAAUCGUUUUUCUGGUAAUAUCUUUGAUGAUAAAAAUUUCUAUCCACUUUGAGUAUGCGUCCACGAGAACCAAAAACAUUCUUCCCAUGAACGGACCCGCUAGAUCAAGAUGAAGUCGAUGCCACGGUUUUUCGGGCCAAGUCCAUUCCGAGAUGGUAGCCGGGGGCAUGCUUGCCGAUUCUUGGCAUACUCUACAUUCUCUAGUUAACUCCUCGAUGUUACUGUCUAUGCCUGGCCACCAGAAAAUACCGUCUGGCAAUCAUCUUCAUUUUAACAAUCCCCAUGUGUAUUUCAUGCAAGUCAUUUAAAAUUAAAGAUAUUAAUUUUUGGGGAAU